UAUGCCUACGGGAGGCAGCAGUGGGGAAUAUUGCACAAUGGGGGAAACCCUGAUGCAGCAACGCCGCGUGAGUGAAGAAGUCAUUCGUGAUGUAAAGCUCUAUCAGCAGGGAAGAAAAUGACGGUACCUGAGUAAGAAGCCCCGGCUAACUACGUGCCAGCAGCCGCGGUAAUACGUAGGGGGCAAGCGUUAUCCGGAUUCACUGGGUGUAAAGGGAGCGUAGACGGCGACGCAAGUCUGGAGUGAAAGCCCGGGGCCCAACCCCGGGACUGCUCUGGAAACUGCGUCGCUGGAGUACGGGCGGG
rnacentral:rRNA from 1 species